rnacentral:tRNA from 3 species
GGGCGCAUAGUCAAGUGGUCUUAAGACGCCAGUCUUCGAAACUGGAGAUCGUGGGUUCAAAUCCCACUGUGCUCG